rnacentral:rRNA from 2 species
AAAGAAACCAACCGGGAUUGCCUCAGUAACGGCGAGUGAAGCGGCAAGAGCUCAAAUUUGAAAGCUGGCCCCUUCGGGGUCCGCGUUGUAAUUUGCAGAGGAUGCUUCGGGUGCGGCCCCUGUCUAAGUGCCCUGGAACGGGCCGUCAGAGAGGGUGAGAAUCCCGUCUUGGGCAGGGUGCCCGUGCCCGUGUGAAGCUCCUUCGACGAGUCGAGUUGUUUGGGAAUGCAGCUCUAAAUGGGUGGUAAAUUUCAUCUAAAGCUAAAUACCGGCCGGAGACCGAUAGCGCACAAGUAGAGUGAUCGAAAGAUGAAAAGCACUUUGAAAAGAGAGUUAAACAGCACGUGAAAUUGUUGAAAGGGAAGCGCUUGCGACCAGACUCGGCCCCGGGGUUCAGCCAGCAUUCGUGCUGGUGUACUUCCCCGGGGGCGGGCCAGCGUCGGUUUGGGCGGCCGGUCAAAGGCCCCAGGAAUGUAUCGCCCUCCGGGGUUGUCUUAUAGCCUGGGGUGCAAUGCGGCCAGCCCGGACCGAGGAACGCGCUUCGGCACGGACGCUGGCGUAAUGGUCGCAAACGAC